UAACAAAAAAAACAAGUUCAGGAAAAAAAUGUGUGUGUGUGUGUGUGUGUGUGUGUGUGUGUGUGUGUGUGUGUGUGUGUGUGUGUGUGUGUGUGUGUGUGUGUGUGUGUGUGUGUGUGUGUGUGUGUGUGUGUGUGUGUGUGUGUGUGUGUGUGUGUGUGUGUGUGUGUGUGUGUGUGUGUGAUUGAUAACUCACCCAGGAAUAUCUUUAAAGAGAAAAACAAGGUCAUGAUGAAAGUUGGAGGAAAAAAACACAAUAAUAUCACAGCAGGGUCACAACAAGGUCCCUACAACACAGCAAAUUCAAUAUAGCACAGCAAAGGUCACUAAGAAGUCCUUCCAAUGCAGCAAGGUCACCACAGCACAGCAAAAUCACUAGUAGACCACAGCAGUCACCAGAAAUAACAGCAAAUCCACAGGACAGCCGUCAACACAGUAAGAUAUGAACACAGCAACACCAACAGACUCAACAGGUCACAGCAUUAAAGAAUACCAGGACCACCAAAAAAAUAAAUAAAAAAACAGCAAAUUCACAGCGCAAUCCUUCUAAAACAGCAAGAUUUCAUGAACACGGCAGUUGAGAGCAGGAUUAUCAAAACACAGCAUCAGAGCACAUCAGGAAGCCAAAACACAGCAAAUUUACAGCACACCCCUUUCACAGCAGUCAGCAAAAAAAAUGCAGCAAUAUAACACACAGCAGUGGUGGAGGGAUUAUCAAAACAGCAUUAAAGCAUCACAAGACCAUUUCAGGAUCACAACAGCACAGCAAAUCACAGCAGAAACCACCAGGCCACACAGCACACUGGCCUAAUCACAAUCAGACCAUAACACAGCUUGAUAUGAAGGGUGCAGUGCUGAUAAGGAAAUGCUCACUCCAGGCUCUCUUGUCUGUUACAAUAUCCUGCUAGAAUCAUACUGUGUCUUCAACUGAGGCUAAUGUGUAAUGUUGGUGGGGUUGUUUUGGGGUAUUUUGUGUCUUUGGGUGUUUACUACUACUACUACUACUACUACUACUACUACUACUACUACUACUACUACUACUACUACUACUACUGCUGCUGCUACUACUGCUGCUGCUGCUCUGUACAAGAUAAGAAAACUUGCAUCAAAAGGACAGCUGUUACAGGAAAGCUCAUGCUGCAUGUCAGGGCAGCACAGAGGACACAAGGCUGCUGCUCCAGUCCCCUCAACCACCACAAGGAAGGGAAACAUGAAACAGUGGAUGGUGGAAGUGGAAUAAUGGUAGCAAAAGUGGGAAUAGUUGACGUGAUCAUGAGAAAGGUGGACCAGUGGAGGGAACAAGGAAGAAAAUGGAAGGGAAACAUGGAGGUGGUGGAAUAAUGUGAUAAACACACUCCUCGUGCCAGACAGGAAGUGACAAGCAACAGCAGUGACAGGACCCACCAUCACCAGGCUAGCCAGUAGGUGAAGGGAUGGGGAGAGCAGGGGAAGUCUAAACAACAAAAGAGGGACUGGAUG